UGCUUAUUUCGAUGACGUCACCGGUCACGUGAUAGUCUCCACCAACUGCACCGUUAUUUCCAAGCAAGCAAUUUUUUUUUCUGCAAAUGGGAAUCUUUAACAAAUGGAUUGAAGUAGAUUCAAUGCAGAUCUUGGGCUUUAUCAUCAGUGAACAUCACAAUCCUGAACUAACAGGAUGGUCGAGCCAUUCUGGUUGAUAAUUCUGCAUGCUUCUGUUCUUCUUGGAAGUGGAGCGAUGAGACCAAGUUAUGAAGUGUUGAGAUAUGACUGAGCCUUGAUGAUGAUUUAUUUUUCGAUGUCUGCAACAUGCUGUCCUCUGGAUGUAUGGUGCUCUCAGAGCGACGUGGCUGUGUCCCCCACAGGGGUAAGACCCUCUCAAGACCAGGCCCUAACUACUCCUAUGGUUGGAAGCGAGUUCUCUGGUAGCAGUGGGGGAAAGAGAGUGGCACAUAUAUGUGGAAGAAUUGUGUUGCUCAAUCGACCCUUCCCACAGGGGAAGACCCUCUUGAGAGCAGGCCCGAGCUGCUCCUAUGGUUGGCAGCAAGUGCGCUGGAAGUCGUGGAGAGAAGAGAGCGGCACUUAUACAUGUUGAAGAAUUGCGUUGCUCAGCUGGUGAGUGCCCAGAUAGCUCAGAUAGCAGAGCACUGGUAUGGUUUGUCAGAGGACCACAGUUUAAUUCCUGGUC
rnacentral:lncRNA from 1 species